AUUGAACGCUGGCGGCAGGCCUAAUACAUGCAAGUCGAACGGUAACAUAAGAGAAGCUUGCUUUUCUUGAUGACGAGUGGCGGACGGGUGAGUAAGAUUUGGGAAGCUACCUGAUAGAGGGGGACAACAGUUGGAAACGACUGCUAAUACCGCAUACAGCCUCAGGGUGAAAGAAGAAAUUCGCUAUCAGAUGUGCCCAAAUGGGAUUAGCUAGUAGGUGAGGUAAAGGCUCACCUAGGCGACGAUCUCUAGCUGGUCUGAGAGGAUGAUCAGCCACAUUGGGACUGAGACACGGCCCAGACUCCUACGGGAGGCAGCAGUAGGGAAUAUUGCACAAUGGAGGAAACUCUGAUGCAGCCAUGCCGCGUGUGUGAAGAAGGCCUUCGGGUUGUAAAGCACUUUCGGAGGGGAGGAAAAGAUGACGUUACCCUCAGAAGAAGCACCGGCUAACUCCGUG
rnacentral:rRNA from 1 species